AGUGAACGCUGGCGGUAGGCCUAACACAUGCAAGUCGAACGGCAGCACAGUAAGAGCUUGCUCUUACGGGUGGCGAGUGGCGGACGGGUGAGGAAUACAUCGGAAUCUACUUUUUCGUGGGGGAUAACGUAGGGAAACUUACGCUAAUACCGCAUACGACCUACGGGUGAAAGCAGGGGAUCUUCGGACCCUGCGCGAUUGAAUGAGCCGAUGUCGGAUUAGCUAGUUGGCGGGGUAAAGGCCCACCAAGGCGACGAUCCGCAGCUGGUCUGAGAGGAUGAUCAGCCACACUGGAACUGAGACACGGUCCAGACUCCUACGGGAGGCAGCAGUGGGGAAUAUUGGACAAUGGGCGCAAGCCUGAUCCAGCCAUACCGCGUGGGUGAAGAAGGCCUUCGGGUUGUAAAGCCCUUUUGUUGGGAAAGAAAAGCAGCAGGUUAAUACCCCGCUGUUCUGACGGUACCCAAAGAAUAAGCACCGGCUAACUUCGUG
rnacentral:rRNA from 1 species